CCUACGGGUGGCAGCAGUGAGGAAUAUUGGUCAAUGGCCGGAAGGCUGAACCAGCCAUGCCGCGUGAAGGUCAGUGCCCUAUGGGCGUUAAACUUCUUUUGUGCGGGAGCAAUAAUGGUCACGUGUGGCCAGACGAGAGUACCGUACGAAUAAGCAUCGGCUAACUCCGUGCCAGCAGCCGCGGUAAUACGGGGGAUGCAAGCGUUAUCCGGAUUUAUUGGGUUUAAAGGGUGCGUAGGCUGUGAGGUAAGUCAGCGGUCAAAUUGCGGGGCUCAACCCCGUACUGCCGUUGAAACUGCAUCCCUUGAGUGCGCGAGAAGUAUGCGGAAUUCCUAGUGUAGCGGUGAAAUGCGUAGAUAUUAGGAGGAACACCAGUGGCGAAGGCGGCUUACUGGACUGUAACUGACGUUGAGGCUCGAAAGCGUGGGGAGCAAACAGGAUUAGAUACCCCAGUAGUC
rnacentral:rRNA from 1 species